UUAAAAUGUAAAUAAAAAAACUAAGGUAGUAGUAGUUAUGUUCUUGAAACUUAAAAAAUUUGGCGGUAUUUUAGUCUAUUCAGAGGAACCUGUUCUUUAAUCGAUAAUCCACGAUGGACCUUACUUAAGUUUGUAAUCAGUUUAUAUACCGUCGUUAUUAGAAUAUUUUAUAAGAAUGUUAAUUUUCAGGAUUUUUAAAAAGAAAAUAUAUCAGAUCAAGGUGUAGCUUAUAUUUAAGUAGAAAUGGGUUACAAUAAAAUUAUUUAUACGAAUUUAAAUAUGAAAUAUUUAUUGAAGGUGGAUUUGAUAGUAAAAUUAUAAAGAUUAAUAAUUUGAUUUUAGCUCUAAAAUAUGC
rnacentral:rRNA from 1 species